rnacentral:rRNA from 1 species
AAUCAACGCUGGCGGCGUGCCUAACACAUGCAAGUCGCACGAGAAAGGGGAGCAAUCCCUGAGUAAAGUGGCGCACGGGUGAGUAACACGUGAAUCAUCUACCUCCGAGUGGGGAAUAACUGAGAGAAAUCUUAGCUAAUACCGCAUAACACUUACGAGUCAAAGCAGCAAUGCGCUUGGAGAGGAGCUCGCGGCCGAUUAGUUAGUUGGCGGGGUAANGGCCCACCAAGACGAUGAUCGGUAUCCGGCCUGAGAGGGCGCACGGACACACUGGAACUGAAACACGGUCCAGACUCCUACGGGAGGCAGCAGUGGGGAAUUUUGCGCAAUGGGGGAAACCCUGACGCAGCAACGCCGCGUGGAGGAUGAAGUAUCUUGGUACGUAAACU